rnacentral:rRNA from 1 species
CUACGGGUCGCUGCAGUGAGGAAUAUUGCACAAUGGGGGGAACCCUGAUGCAGCAACGCCGCGUGGAGGAUGACGCAUUUCGGUGUGUAAACUCCUUUUAUAUGACAAGAAAAUGACGGUAGCAUAUGAAUAAGCACCGGCUAACUCCGUGCCAGCAGCCGCGGUAAUACGGAGGGUGCAAGCGUUACUCGGAAUCACUGGGCGUAAAGGACGCGUAGGCGGGUUGGAAAGUCAGGUGUGAAAUCCUACAGCUUAACUGUAGAACUGCACUUGAAACUUCUAAUCUAGAGUAUGGGAGGGGGAGAUGGAAUUAGUGGUGUAGGGGUAAAAUCCGUAGAUACCACUAGGAAUACCUAAAGCGAAGGCGAUCUCCUGGAACAUAACUGACGCUAAGGCGUGAAAGCGUGGGGAGCAAACAGGAUUAGAUACCCGCGUAGUC